rnacentral:rRNA from 1 species
GAUGAACGCUGGCGGUCUGCUUAACACAUGCAAGUCGAACGCAACCUUCGGGUUGAGUGGCGGACGGGUGAGUAACGCGUGAGAAUCUGCCUUGGGGUCGGGGACAACCACUGGAAACGGUGGCUAAUACCGGAUAAGCCUUUGGGUAAAAAAUUUAUUGCCCCAAGAGGAGCUCGCGUCUGAUUAGCUAGUUGGUGAGGUAAAAGCUCACCAAGGCAGCGAUCAGUAGCUGGUCUGAGAGGACGAUCAGCCACACUGGGACUGAGACACGGCCCAGACUCCUACGGGAGGCAGCAGUGGGGAAUUUUCCGCAAUGGGCGAAAGCCUGACGGAGCAAGACCGCGUGAGGGAGGAAGGCUCUUGGGUUGUAAACCUCUUUUCUCAGGGAAGAAGCUCUGACGGUACCUGAGGAAUCAGCCUCGGCUAACUCCGUGCCAGCAGCCGCGGUAAUACGGAGGAGGCAAGCGUUAUCCGGAAUUAUUGGGCGUAAAGCGUCCGCAGGUGGCGAUUCAAGUCUGCUGUCAAAGCACGGGGCUUAACUCCGUUAAGGCAGUGGAAACUGAAUAGCUAGAGUGCCGUAGGGGUAGAGGGAAUUCCCGGUGUAGCGGUGAAAUGCGUAGAGAUCGGGAAGAACAUCGGUGGCGAAAGCGCUCUACUGGACGGACACUGACACUCAGGGACGAAAGCUAGGGGAGCGAAUGGGAUUAGAUACCCCCAGUAGUCCUAGCUGUAAACGAUGGAUACUAGGUGUAGCUU